rnacentral:rRNA from 1 species
UACGGAGGGUGCGAGCGUUGUCCGGAAUCACUGGGCGUAAAGGGCGCGUAGGUGGCGGGUCAAGCGUGCGGUGAAAGCUCGGGGCUCAACCCCGAGUCGGCCGUGCGAACUGGCCUGCUGGAGCACUGUAGAGGCAGAUGGAAUUCCGGGUGUAGCGGUGGAAUGCGUAGAGAUCCGGAAGAACACCGGUGGCGAAGGCGGUCUGCUGGGCAGUUGCUGACACUGAGGCGCGACAGCGUGGGGAGCAAACAGG